rnacentral:tmRNA from 1 species
GGGGGCGAAUUGGAAUCGACCGGAUUGCUUGAAGUUGUGUUGGCGUGUCGUAGCUGGUCAGAGGGCUACGUAAAAAUCUGACCAAAACUUUUAUUUGCAGAAGAUAACUCUUUCGCAAUGGCUGCCUAGAAAUAGGCUGCCCCGGCUGAUAGGUUUCGCUGGAGAGCCUAGACUGCUGGUCACCAAUUCCAGAUCGCAAUCAGUCAUGUUUGACACGCGGAUUGUUAAAUUAAGUUUCAGACUAGUUUGAAUUUCAGGGUGUCGUUGCCCGGUGGUUCGAACGAAAUUUAAAUCGACGACUACACACGUAGAGGAUAUAGCGGAUUCAUCGCGGGACGCGGGUUCGAUCCCCGCCGCCUCCAC